AAAUAGAUUUAUUAUUUUAUUUUCCCGCACUAAAGAAGUCAUGUGUAUUUAUAAGUUGUUGUUUCAAAAAUUUUUUUAAUAAUAUAAUAGUAAUCAUAUGUUAUUCGUUUCUUAUAUUUCUGUUAUUAAAGGACAUAAUUAAAUUAUACAUUUUUUUUAUAGGUUAAUAUUUAUUUAAGAUGUUAUUUUAUUAAGGAUAAGCUUAAUAUUUUCUUACAAAUUUUGUAUGUGUAUAUAUAUAUUAUCUUUAAAAUUUUGUAUUAAGUUUUUAAUAAAUUUAUGUACUCGUUCUUAUAUGAUUUUUUUAUGUUUAAAUUCUCACUUAAUUUUUUUAUAUAAUUUUAAUUAUAAUUAAAUAAUGAAUUAAUAAGUAUAAUUUAGAACUAAAAUUUUAAUGAAUUCGACAAAUUAAAAUUCCAACUGUUUAUCAAAAACAUUUCUUUUUGGUUAUUUAAAAGGUAUUUUCUGCCCUAUGGUUAUAAUUUCUAAAUGGCUGCAGUAUAUUGACUGUGCAAAGGUAGCAUAGUAAUUAGUUUCUUAAUUAGAAGCUUGAAUGAACGGAUAUAUGAGAAUAUUAUUUUAUUAGGUUUAAUGUUAAAAAUUAAAUUUUAAGUAAAAAUGCUUAACGAAUUUCUUGGGACGAUAAGACCCUAUAGAACUUUAUUUUUUAAUUAUAAUUUAAUUAUUUUUUUAGGUUAAUUAUUUUUUUUAUUUUUUUGCUGGGGUGGUAGUUAAAUAUUGACUUUAAUUUUUUAUUUCAUUAAUAGAUGUUUAUGAAGAUCUUAUAUAGGAACAUUAAGAUUAAGUUACCUUAGGGAUAACAGCGUAAUUUUGAUGGGGAGUUCUUAUUUAUAUCAUUUUUUGCGACCUCGAUGUUGAAUUAAGAUAAAUCAAAGAAGCAGUAU
rnacentral:rRNA from 1 species